AUUGAACGCUGGCGGCAGGCUUAACACAUGCAAGUCGAGCGGAGCGAGGGUGCUUGCACCUUAGCUUAGCGGCGGACGGGUGAGUAAUGCUUAGGAAUCUGCCUAUUAGUGGGGGACAACAUUCCGAAAGGGAUGCUAAUACCGCAUACGCCCUACGGGGGAAAGCAGGGGAUCUUCGGACCUUGCGCUAAUAGAUGAGCCUAAGUCGGAUUAGCUAGUUGGUGGGGUAAAGGCCUACCAAGGCGACGAUCUGUAGCGGGUCUGAGAGGAUGAUCCGCCACACUGGGACUGAGACACGGCCCAGACUCCUACGGGAGGCAGCAGUGGGGAAUAUUGGACAAUGGGGGGAACCCUGAUCCAGCCAUGCCGCGUGUGUGAAGAAGGCCUUUUGGUUGUAAAGCACUUUAAGCGAGGAGGAGGCGCUCUAGGAUAAUACCCUAGAUGCGUGGACGUACUCGCAGAUAG
rnacentral:rRNA from 1 species